GCAAAGUUGCAGUAGUGGUUAUCAUGGUUGCCUUCCAAGCAGUCGAUCCGGGUUCGAUUCCCGGGCUUCGCA
rnacentral:tRNA from 1 species